AACGAACGCUGGCGGCAGGCUUAACACAUGCAAGUCGAACGCCCCGCAAGGGGAGUGGCAGACGGGUGAGUAACGCGUGGGAACAUACCCUUUCCUGCGGAAUAGCUCUGGGAAACUGGAAUUAAUACCGCAUACGCCCUACGGGGGAAAGAUUUAUCGGGGAAGGAUUGGCCCGCGUUGGAUUAGCUAGUUGGUGGGGUAAAGGCCGACCAAGGCGACGAUCCAUAGCUGGUCUGAGAGGAUGAUCAGCCACAUUGGGACUGAGACACGGCCCAAACUCCUACGGGAGGCAGCAGUGGGGAAUAUUGGACAAUGGGCGCAAGCCUGAUCCAGCCAUGCCGCGUGAGCGAUGAAGGCCUUAGGGUUGUAAAGCUCUUUCACCGAUGAAGAUAAUGACGGUAGUCGGAGAAGAAGCCCCGGCUAACUUCGUGCCAGCCGCCGCAGUAAAAC
rnacentral:rRNA from 1 species